AGACAAACGCUGGGAGUCUUGAGCUCCUUGAGGAAAGUCCAUGCUCACACGUACCUGUGAUGGACGUAGUGUUCGUGCUCAGGGAAAAAAUAACCUGAGGUAGCCUUUGGCUAACGGCGGAAUUUAUUCCUAAGUCUUUGAUAGGGAAUAAUCCAUAAAGUGCCACAGUGACGAUGCUUUUCGAAAGGAAAGAGUGAAACGUGGUAAACCCCGCGAGUGAGAAACCCAAAUUUGGUAGGGGAGUUCUAACGAAGGAAUCGAACGGAGUUAGGAACUAGCAAUAGUAGAUAAAUGUUUGUCUCCUGAAAAGGAACAGAACAUGGCUUAUU
rnacentral:RNase_P_RNA from 1 species